rnacentral:rRNA from 1 species
AAUCCGCUAUGAGAUGGGCCCGCGUCGCAUUAGCUAGUUGGUAAGGUAAUGGCUUACCAAGGCGACGAUGCGUAGCCGACCUGAGAGGGUGAUCGGCCACAUUGGGACUGAGACACGGCCCAGACUCCUACGGGAGGCAGCAGUGGGGAAUAUUGCACAAUGGGGGAAACCCUGAUGCAGCAACGCCGCGUGAGUGAUGAAGGUCUUCGGAUUGUAAAACUCUGUCUUUGGGGACGAUAAUGACGGUACCCAAGGAGGAAGCCACGGCUAACUACGUGCCAGCAGCCGCGGUAAUACGUAGGUGGCAAGCGUUGUCCGGAUUUACUGGGCGUAAAGGGAGCGUAGGUGGAUAUUUAAGUGGGAUGUGAAAUACUCGGGCUUAACCUGAGUGCUGCAUUCCAAACUGGAUAUCUAGAGUGCAGGAGAGGAAAGUGGAAUUCCUAGUGUAGCGGUGAAAUGCGUAGAUAUUAGGAAGAAC